rnacentral:rRNA from 1 species
CAGCAGUGAGGAAUAUUGCCCAAUGGACGAAAGUCUGAGGCAGCGACGCCGCGUGGAUGAUGAAGGCCUUCGGGUUGUAAAAUCCUUUUCAGGGGGACGAGGAAGGACGGUACCCUUGGAAUAAGCGUCGGCUAACUACGUG